CCCUCCGUGGAUUAACGGUAAAUCACCUCAGUUCAUUGAUGGUGAAGGAUAUUUUAUUCUGAGGAGACGUGGGUUCGAAUCCCACCAGAGGCA